rnacentral:rRNA from 1 species
GACGAACGCUGGCGGCGUGCUUAACACAUGCAAGUCGAACGGAAAGGCCCUGCUUUUGUGGGGUGCUCGAGUGGCGAACGGGUGAGUAACACGUGAGUAACCUGCCCUUGACUUUGGGAUAACUUCAGGAAACUGGGGCUAAUACCGGAUAGGAGCUCCUGCUGCAUGGUGGGGGUUGGAAAGUUUCGGCGGUUGGGGAUGGACUCGCGGCUUAUCAGCUUGUUGGUGGGGUAGUGGCUUACCAAGGCUUUGACGGGUAGCCGGCCUGAGAGGGUGACCGGCCACAUUGGGACUGAGGUACGGCCCAGACUCCUACGGGAGGCAGCAGUGGGGAAUAUUGCACAAUGGGCGGAGGCCUGAUGCAGCAACGCCGCGGGCGGGAUGACGGCCUUCGGGUUGUAAGCCGCUUUCGCCUGUGACGAAGCGUGAGUGACGGUAAUGGGUAAAGAAGCACCGGCUAACUACGUG